rnacentral:lncRNA from 1 species
CCACCGUUUUGUUAUGGUACUUUGUGGAAAUAGAAAUGGCCUCAAUUGCUUAAGUUACAGGUUUCACACUUACACUACAACUUUUUAUUUUUUUUUACAUUGGGAUUCACUUGUAAGUCAUGUAUCAUUGUGAUCUACACCAGUGUUCAAGGUGUGGCAGCAUUACUUAUUUCUGGCAUUUCACCUGGACUUGGAAAUGCACUGGUAGGAAUAAAAUAUGAAAGCUUUAUUACUUGUGUUAAUAUAAUGCAGCUUUGGGUGCUUUUACUAAAUAAAGGAUAAAUAAAAAAGAAAAAAAAGGUGACAUUUAUUUAUGUGAAGUUCUUUUUUUUUUCCUAGGUUUCCUUAUCUCAGGUAAAUUAACUUGAUUAAACUACAUUGACUUUCUUUGUUCCUUUGCUAACUUGCUUCAAAGUAAGUGGAGAACAAAUGGUUCAAGUUACACCACAGAUUUCUCAGUGAGAGAAAACUAAGCAAAUGAAUGGUAGUCAGUGGAAGCUUCUGUACUGUCUGAAGUUCAGCCUGUUUCUAGUAGUUAAAGACCAUUAUGACUUUGUGUGCAUUGAAUACAGUUUGGGAAACUCCUGAUUCUCUUCUUUAAGCCUCAUAAAUUCACUACAGUGGGGAAAAAAGGUCAGAUUUCUAUACUGAUUUUCCCAUCCCCACUUAAUGUGGAUGUGUUCUCAAAGUGAUGGUCGAGGAGCCACACAUAAUUUUCUAGGUCAGCCUUGGUAAUACACACAGUACUGGAGUGGGGUAUUCCCCCUCUAUUGAUGUGGGUGGGCUCAUCUGAGCUGCCAAGAUCUGAGCCAUGACGGCGUGCAAACACCUCCUCUGCACUUCAGAUGAGCACCUCCGUUCACCUCUUGUGAGCACAAGCACCACUACCAGCGUGUUAGUGGCUACUCUAAGUCAUAUGGAUUGCCAGUAACUUCUUGUUCUGCAACUUCCCAGACUACUCUUGCUGGUGAUAUCUGCUGCACAGCCCCAGCCGGUGUCAGCCUCUGCCUUUGCUCCCCAGAACUUGGAAGAAAGCCGAAGAGAGAUCAGGGAAAGGAUGUGGAGAAUCAAACAUUUCCAAAUAAAAAGGUGUGUGGAAGAAAGAUCUUUGGUUUUCAGUUUGCUCCUGAGUUUGCUGUGGCCUGCAAUUUUGCAUCCUAUUAAAUGUAAGUGCUGGAUGUUCUCUGGCAUUUCUCCAUGCCUUUGCUUAUAAUUAGUGACUAUUUUUGUGAUUUCUUUACCUGUUCUUUUAUCCAGGUAAUCCAGCAGGACUGCUGUGACAGUCCUGUGCUGGUGGUGUCUGCUACUUUCGUAAAGACUGCUUCCCCAGUUUAGAAGAAGCAAAUACAACCAAACCAAUGAAGAAUUCACCUCCAAAACUUGAUGCUUUGAGCUCAGGACUCCUCCUGCUCUGGGACACCCAGCAAAAGCCAAAGCAGGGAAUGGUGUGAAUCCUCCUUUAUCUCUGCAGCCUCAAGCCAGUUUUGGCUGGCUGUGUUGGAGGUGCUAAGACACUGAGGUGGUGCUGGAUGACAGCAGGGGACUGGGGCUGAGUAUUUUUCCUAAUCAUGCUUGUUUGAGGAAUUGGGUUAAUUCUGGGCUGAAUGCCCACUUGGCACCGUGUGAAACUCCAUGUAAGUUGUUUAGGUUUGUUGUUUCUCCUGUAAACAACAAAACUGCUGGUGUUUAUUCAGGCAUUGUGAAGGAAACACAUGGGAUAAAAGGGAAUUCUUACUGCAGGCAAGAUUAGCACCCGAAUGGUGGGUGAGGCUUCAUGCAAGACAUGUCACAAAGGCAUCCUCUGUUCCCCAGGAGAUCAGUGGAUUAGGAGGCUGCCGGUACCCCUGGGCUUGGUGCGGGCUGCCUGACUGUGGGUGUACCAUGUGCAGAUGUAGCACUUCCUCGGGGGUGCGCUGCUCUGAAAUGAGUGGUUACAUAUAAAAAAUGGUUUUGAGGCCUGAACCAGUUGAAGUCAUUGGGAAAAACUCUGCAACUUUAAAGGGGUUUGGAUUAAAGCCAUAAGAAAAUUUCAGUUUGUUUUUUUUAAAUAAACACUCCCCAACUUGUAAUCA